rnacentral:snRNA from 14 species
CUACUCGGUACCUGGUAGGAGAGAUACCACGAUCAACAAAGUGGUUUUCCCAGGCAGGAGAGAUACUAUCUUCUCGGCCUUGAAUGGAGGGGAAGUCCUGACCCUUGCAUUGCAGGCAGGCCGACCCCUGUGAGACUUUACACAUGCCUCCAAAUGCAAGGAUUUUGGCUACACAGUUUAUGGGGAUGAGGGAUUGCUCUCAGGCUUUUCCCUU